AACCUGGUUGAUCCUGCCAGUAGUCAUAUGCUUGUUUCAAGGAUUAAGCCAUGCAAGUCUCAGAGUAAAUGGAUCACAGUAGGUCUGCAGACAGCUCAUUAAAUCAGCUACAAUCUACGCGGGAAAAUCGCCUUCUUGGCGAACUAUUGGAUAACUCUGGUAACCCCAAAGCUAAUACAUGUCAGACCAUUCCGCACAGAUCAAACCCUGGGCUCUCGGGUCUGGGGCUGUGCGGAUGUAGUCGUUCGAAAUAAAAACCAACGCCAGCAAUGGCAGCGGUACUUAGAUGAUUCAGAACAACCGAACAGUAGCGCAUACUUCGGUGGCGCUGGCCCGCAAGAGCAUCUGCCCUAUCAGCUUUUGACGGUAGUGUAGUGGACUACCGUGGCAGUAACGGGUAACGGGGAAUUAGGGUUCGAUUCCGGAGAGGGAGCCUGAGAAACGGCUACCACAACUAAGGUUGGCAGCAGGCGCGCAAAUUGCCCAAUAGCAACACCUAGCUGAGGCAGCGAAGAGAAAUAGCAACUUCAUGCGGCCUUGCCGUGUGAAGAUUGCAAUGGAAGAUAUCUAAACCUGUCUGUGAGUAUCAAUUGGAGGACAAGUCUGGUGCCAGCACCCGCGGUAAUUCCAGCUCCAAUAGCGUAUAUUAAUGCUGCUGCUGUUAAAAAGCUCGUAGUUGGAUCAAGAGUACAACCGUGAAGGUUGGCCCAGUUUGUCGUCGUGGCCUCGGUUGCGGCGGCGGCUCGGGAGUAACCGCCUUCACCAAGCGGUUGUCUCUAAUAGGCGGAAACGGCUCCCGGUGAGUAGGUCCCUUCAUUGGGAUUGAAAGCGCAUACGCGUUAACCAUACGCAUUCGGGACGUCCGCCAUUGUUACUGUGAACAAACCAGCGUGUCCAAAGCAGGUUCCGCCUGCAUGUUCGAGCAUGGAAUAACAAGGGAUCGAUCCUCUCGGUUCUUUUUGUUGGUUUUUAACCCGAGAAGGAGUAAUUCAGGCCAGGGUGUCUGAGUCGGGUUUCCCUAGACUUCGGUUUAGGCCCCGAUUAGGCCCUGUCCUUACGGGAUCAAUAGGGACUGCCGGGGUCGUAAGUACUUCUACGUCAGAGGUGAAAUUCUUAGAUCGUAGAAAGACUAACUUCUGCGAAAGCAUUCGACAAGAAUGUCUUUCAUUAAUCAAGAACGAGAGUGUGGGGAUCGAAGAUGAUCAGAUACCGUCGUAGUCACUACUGUAAACAAUGCCGUCUCAGGAUCGAGAGGUGAACCUAAUGACCCUCACGGCACUAACCCCUGAAACGAGAAAUCAAAGAUUAUGGGUUCAGGGGGGAGUACAUUCGCAAGGCUGAAACUUAAAGGAAUUGACGGAAUGACACCACCAGGCGUGGAGUAUGCGGCUUAAUUUGACUCAACACGGGGAAUUUUACUAGGUCAGGACAAUGUAAGGAUUGACAGAUUGAGAGCUCUUUCUCGAUCCAUUGUGUGGUGGUGCAUGGCCGCUCCUGGUUGGUGGAGUGAUUUGUCUGGUUGAUUCCGUUAACGAACGAGAUCUCGACCUCUAAAUAGGUGGCCGUGACGAUUUGUAGUCUCAUCUCUGCAGCCUAGCUGAUUUGAGUGGGACGAGUCAGCGGCAAUACUUCUUAGAGGGACUGUCUGCGUCUCUAGCAGGCGGAAGAGCGAGCCAAUAGCAGGUCUGUGAUGCUCCUAAAUGUCCUAGGCUGCACGCGCACUACACUGAUGCAUUAAACGAGUCUGAUUGGCUUUGCCAACCUAGCUAGAAGUAGCUGGGAAACCUUUUGAACUUGCAUCGUGAUGAGGAUCGAUGAUUGCAAUUAUUCUCCUUGAAUGAGGGAUGCCUAGUAGGCGCAAGUCAUCAGCUUGCACUGAUUACGUCCCUGCCAUUUGUACACACCGCCCGUCGUUGCUACCGAUUGGCUGUAAGGUAGAGAUUGGCGGAUUUGAGUCGUCUGGGGCGACCCAGCGAUUUGGAGAAACCCAUCAGUAUUUUGCAGCUAGAGGAAGCAAAAGUCGUAACAAGGUUGCUGUAGGUGAACCUGCAGAAGGAUC
rnacentral:rRNA from 1 species